GAAGGUAGUCUUGCCUGCCAAGGCUCCUAGCUGCCUGAUUUUUCCAAUUUCUCCUAGGAAUCCUGCUGUACCUUUUCCCUCAGGAAGAACUGGCUGACUGGAGGUGGGCUGUCUGGUUCCAACAGCUUUGAUUUCACAGAAGACAUGGAGUACUGUAACUUUUCUUCACUUUUCAAAGAAAAGCCACUGUAAUUUCAUCUGAAACCAGCAUGGGUUUGGCAGUCCAGCCAGUUAUCAGUCCGAAUGUUUGAAGCGGGGAGUCUCUUCUUGGCAGCAAAGCAGGUCUUAUAAAAAUAUCACAGUGUAUAUGCAAGUAACAAUCCAACAAUUUCAGUCACUUUGUAAUGACUGUUUAGAGAGCUCUUAGAUAUGGGUUGUUAAUGAAGUUGGUGUUCACAACAGAUUUCAUUCCUUAAAAGAGAGAAGAAAAACAGAGAACCCAAAGGAGACUCCUCAUCACAACUGCAUUUUGAAUAGCUGAGAACCAAAAAUGAAUGUGCUCCUUCUCCUCGAAUUCAUUAACAAAGCUUCACGCGCUUCAGUGGAACUGUGGAAGGUGUGCAGCAGUAAGGAUAUGAUGUCAGAUGGCCACGCAGACAAGCCCUGUCAUUGCAUAUAAUCUGGAUGGCACAGAGAAGUCCUCCUCAAAAAGCAGAUUGCAGAGUGCUCCUGUUGCUUGAAGACUUGCUUGUGCCCAGUGGCAGGAACAACAGAAUCUCCUGAGGAAACAGCUUUUCAACCCAUUGUGCCACCUGUAGCCUCAGAGGAAAGAUGUGCAGUGCUAUGUUUGGGAGCUGUAUGACACCCCAAAUAUAACAGAAGAGUGCACCUUGCUUGGAGACUGUAUUUAUUGUGACCACGUAAUAUCGUAAUGGAAAUAUGUAAUGGAAAUCCAGGUAAAGUUCUAUCAACUGAAAAAUGUCUUUCUGGCCAGGAACAAAAUGAGAAAGGUGCCAUCUGCAAUAUUCAGAAAAAUGCCUUAUUAUCCAAAUACUAAUAAAGAAAAGGCUGCCAUGUCACCAA